ensembl:lncRNA
GUAACAGUCAGAGAAGCCUUACACAAUCGAAAUGCUCCCCAGAGCCCGUGUCAGUGUAACACACCACACGGUGCUGCCUAUGGGGAUGGGUACAACAAAGCCACUGCUGCGACGGCCGUGGCUCUGCUCAGGUUCAUUGCAAAAGUGUGGGUACUUGGAGCAAGCAGGCUGCCGCAGCACCCCACAGCCUCACCCAGCUUCUCAUUGACUACGCUGCUGACACAGCAGCCGUUGUCCAAGAGGAUGGGUUAUCUGAGGACAUUCUGAGACAGCAGCUCAUGUAUGUGGACAUUCAGGACACGUUCUCCAUCACUAAUUCCCCCCAGAUGAAACUCAUUGAGUUCCUGACUGAGUUCAGGGUGGAUGAGGAGCUUCUCCGGAGCUCCCAGAAGAAGCGGCACGGUCCCAUCAACGCUGUAAAAAUAGAGCCUUCUCAGUGGGAUCGCUGCUUCAGGCCGGUCCUUGUGAGCUUGUGGGCACCUGGCAGAAGUAGGAUGAGUGCUGCUGUGUGCAGAGCUCACAGAUGGUGUGCUGGCACUAAGCCCUGUGAAAGGUGUGUUCGGGGCUCCCGCCUGAGGCCUGCUUGGCGUGCCCUAGGCCAGCCCCCACCAAGUGCGCGCCCCUGGAUGCUGCGGGGGAUACGUGUGCUGUCUGCUGAGCGGAUCCGGACUAUCAGGUUGUACACAGCUUUUGCAAAGCCUCCUUUUCCAAAACUGACACUUCCUGAUCUAUCGGCUUUGAUGUCUUUGGCAGCAGCUGGGGAGUUGUGCGUCUCAGCGGUCAAAGUUUUGCGAGACAGCGCUGACCGCACUGCCUUCGGAUGCCGUCCCAUCCGUUUUCAUUUAGGGAGGAUUCAUUCACUCCAUGUCCCUCACUAUCGGCAGAUGCAGGAGGGCUGCUUUUUGGGAGGCAACAGCUUUUAGGGUCGUUUCCCUGCAGCCGCUUCGGACAAAGCCACCCUGGUCAGGUGCUCCCGUCCUCUUGCAGAUGCCACGGGACUGCCGAGCUCACCGCAGCCCGACAACCCAAGCGGGAAGCGGAGAGGAGCAAUGCCCUGCCCUGGCUCUGGAGGCU